UAGCCGCACCCCGAGUGGUGACCAGUAUUAUUGGGCGUAAAGCGCGCGCAGGCGGUCUCUUAAGUCUGAUGUGAAAGCCCACGGCUCAACCGUGGAGGGUCAUUGGAAACUGGGGGACUUGAGUACAGAAGAGGAGAGUGGAAUUCCACGUGUAGCGGUGAAAUGCGUAGAGAUGUGGAGGAACACCAGUGGCGAAGGCGGCUCUCUGGUCUGUAACUGACGCUGAGGCGCGAAAGCGUGGGGAGCAAACAGG
rnacentral:misc_RNA from 1 species